CUGACUAGCAGUGGGGAAGGGUCUUUUCUGGAGAUCCCUCCUCUGAAGUUUUGCAGUGAGCCCAGGACACGGGUUUGCCCCAUGGGUUGUUGAUAUCCAUUGAAGCCCUGAAAAUCAGCUAAUAGCAGUGUGAGUAGAUUCUGGGGAGCCAAACCCUCACUAAGAAGGUCACAUCUGGAAGAACUGACAAGCAAACCCACAGAAUUCAAGUGGCAGGGAGCCCAAGGCUCGCUGGCUCUGGCUCAAAUAAAAGCAGUGCUGUACAGAAGGCAGAUCAUCCCUCUGUUGAAUUGAGAGCACACUAUCUGCUGUAUACAGUCAGCAUGGAAAUGCCACCAACCUCCAGAUUGACCUGUGGUGGACUCCACUGUGUUUACUGCCAAUUUGGGAUGAUGCAUUACUGUACAGUGCUACCAAUAAAUGGAAAGUUUGAGCUAGCAGGAAAAGAACAGAAUGGUGCAAAACUAUACUCAGACCGGAGCGUGUUUGCCAGACAGAAGGAGGUUUAUCUCCUUCUCAUAAGAGCUGCUAACUGCACUGGAAUGGUGGAAAUGACUGUGAACUUCAGAAUUUGAGAAGGCUGUUCUAAAAAAAUGCUGGGAAAAGUGUGAAAAUGCUCUAAAAGUACAGCUGGUCAUCCUAAGUACAAAUGAGAGAUCUACAAGGUGUUGUUCCACCAGAGGAAGAUUCUGUACUCUGCAGACCCACUGUGGACUUGACUGUAGCAGAAGGGGGAGCAGCCUAUGUACUUACAGAUCAGUUCCAAAAGGUAAGCGUGGGAAUGGGAAUGAGGGUGGAAAUAGAAAAAAGUCCUUCUGAACUUUAAGAAACUCAGCGUCAUUUUCUGUGGAUUUGAACUAUGCUUGUAGCUCUGGUCUUGACCUUACAUAGGUUGUCAUGUUUGCAUCACUGCAAGGCUGGAAAUACCUCAGUGGCUCUUGGGUUGUUUACAAAUUCAAGUUGGACUGUGAUUUUGAUCAAUACGAUGUGUUUCUAGGGGACUUUUGAUUGCUGAGAGUUUUACCAGAGCCUUGAGUGGAAAAAGCGUUUUGCUCCCCAGAGAAUUUGCACAGGGUACUUCUAGGAAAUGUUUGCAUGUUUUGGUUUGUUUUGAGCAAGAGCAAAAAGUCUUGUUCUGGAUUGUUUUGUGGCUGAACUUCUGUCUCUGAACUGAUGCAAAGUCUCUCAGGUGGCAUUGUUUUAUUGCCUUAUGCUUUUGAACCAUGGACUUCCUGGCCAGAUUGUGUCUCCAGUCUCUACCGAAAGUUGUUAUGUAAAGAACUUAGUGUUUUCUGAUAGAUGAUUCAUAGUGAAGCAUAGGAAUUU